GUUAAGCAUUUCAGGCACCGCUGAAAUCUGGCGAACAGAUCUACAACCAGAAUGUUUAAUGAUAGACAAAUACGAUGGUACGUGGAAAUGGCUUAACUUACCUUGUGUUCAAACCCGUAAAUACGUAUGUGAAUAUCCAAGAGUAAGUAUAAUUCUUCAUUUAGAUUUUAGGUUGCCAUAUUCCGUAAACAAAUUAAUUUAUAACUACAACUCAUAAAUCACGAAGACGUCAGCACAUGUCACAGACUGUUUACAAUCGACUGGGUUCACAUUAAAAAAAUGAGGCGGAAGAAGAAAAAAAAUAACCAGAAGAAAAUAACAUUUUAGCAAAUUAAUAUAUUGAUUUAUACUAAAUAUAAAUUUAUGUAAUUACAUACAAAUUGGCAAUUUGAACUCUAUUAAACUACCGAUUGACAAGCAAUUGUCUUGUCAAAAUUGAGAGAAUAACGCUGUUCAAUUUAAAUCUUCAAUAUGGACAAAUGUUAAAACAAAAGCCAAAAUAUACCAACGAUUCAAACAUUUUCUUAUCGAUGACGUCAAAGUGCUAGGUUUCACAGAAUCAUAAUUUAUAUCGUAUGAUUUAAAGGCUAUUCAUAUAUUUAUGAUGAUGCUGUGUUUCUCAGUAUAAAUCCAUAUAAUAAUCGAUCCGGGUAAUGUAAUAGAUAAUUAGAUAAAAAAAAACUUGGAAAUGUGUACAUAUAUUUGUAACUGUUUUUUUUAUACCUUUUAUCUAUAAGUUUUUAUCACGUGUCCUGCUUUAUACCAUUUUUUUCUCUCCCGUAAAUAUGUUUUUUUAAGGAAUUUGAAAUAACAAAUAAUUAUAAUAUGGAUUCCCUAUAUUGUUCAAUAAUGUCUUGUUAUUUUUAUUUAACCAUAAAUUGACUAUUAGAUAUAUUUGGUCUAGUAUUGUGAUAUCUGAUAUUCUAAGUUGAUGAUAAUAUAUACAUUCAAAUUCAGAUUAUAUUAAAUUUUAUUUAUAAGCCCAUAUGGAAUCAUGUGUGUCGGUUCUAUUUGGAAUCUCAUAUUCUGAUAUAUAUCAUCAUUUCAGCACAUCUUCAAUAAUAGACAAGUUAACAUAUAUGGGACUGACUUGACAAUAAAUCAUUCUGCUUGACCGUAAAAUGCGAACAAAAGAUCCUACUUUUAUUAAACUAUAGAAUCAACAGACAUAGGUCCAAUACAAUACUAGUUUAUGUUUCUUAUAAUUGACAAAUAUUUUCUAACCUUUACAUAUGCCAUGUGAUCUCGAUUUGAGAUUUUGAGUUAUUUUCAUGUGUCUGUAACGUGAUAUUGUUGUGUUUUUCAGAGAGUUUGUCCAUAGAGAUUUUGACACUGCCAACGAUGCUCUUCAUUUGAAAAUAAAUUGUCGAUGCAGAGAAAAAAAUAAAAUCAUUAAAAGCGGA
rnacentral:lncRNA from 1 species